rnacentral:rRNA from 1 species
UACGAAGGGGGCUAGCGUUGCUCGGAAUCACUGGGCGUAAAGCGCACGUAGGCGGCUUUCUAAGUCAGGGGUGAAAUCCUGGAGCUCAACUCCAGAACUGCCUCUGAUACUGGGAAGCUCGAGUCCGGAAGAGGUGAGUGGAACUGCGAGUGUAGAGGUGAAAUUCGUAGAUAUUCGCAAGAACACCAGUGGCGAAGGCGGCUCACUGGUCCGGUACUGACGCUGAGGUGCGAAAGCUAGGGGAGCGAACAGG